GCAAGCUAGCGAUAGUGAGCGAAUCCCAAAAAGUGCGUCGUAGUCCGGAUUGGAGUCUGCAACUCGACUCCAUGAAGUCGGAAUCGCUAGUAAUCGUGAAUCAGAAUGUCACGGUGAAUACGUUCCCGGGCCUUGUACACACCGCCCGUCACACCAUGGGAGUGGGCUGCAAAAGAAGUGGGUAGUUUAACCUUUCGRGGAGGACGCUCACCACUUUGUGGUUCAUGACUGGGGUGAAGUCGUAACAAGGUAGCCCUAGGGGAACCUGGGGCUGGAUCACCUCCUUAUACGAAGAUAC
rnacentral:rRNA from 2 species